CCUACGGGGUGCAGCAGUAGGGAAUCUUCCACAAUGGGCGAAAGCCUGAUGGAGCAACGCCGCGUGGGUGAAGAAGGUCUUCGGAUCGUAAAACCCUGUUGUUAGAGAAGAAAGUGCGUGAGCGUAACUGUUCACGUUUCGACGGUAUCUAACCAGAAAGCCACGGCUAACUACGUGCCAGCAGCCGCGGUAAUACGUAGGUGGCAAGCGUUAUCCGGAUUUAUUGGGCGUAAAGGGAACACAGGAGGGCUUUUAAGUCUGAUGUGAAAGCCUUCGGCUUAACCGGAGUAGUGCAUUGGAAACUGGGAGACUGGAGUGCAGAAGAGGAGAGUGGAACUCGAUGUGUAGCGGUGAAAUGCGUAGAUAUAUGGAAGAACACCAGUGGCGAAAGCGGCUCUCUGGUCUGUAACUGACGCUGAGGUUCGAAAGCGUGGGUAGCAAACAGGAUUAGAUACCCUGGUAGUC
rnacentral:rRNA from 1 species